CCUACGGGAGGCAGCAGUGGGGAAUAUUGCACAAUGGGGGAAACCCUGAUGCAGCGACGCCGCGUGAGCGAAGAAGUAUUUCGGUAUGUAAAGCUCUAUCAGCAGGGAAGAAAAUGACGGUACCUGACCACGAAGCCCCGGCUAACUACGUGCCAGCAGCCGCGGUAAUACGUAGGGGGCAAGCGUUAUCCGGAUUUACUGGGGGUAAAGGGAGCGUAGACGGGGGUGCAAGCCAGGCGUGAAAGGCCGGGGCUCAACCCCGGGACUGCAGUUGAAACUGUGGAGCUGGAGUGCAGGAGAGGUAGGCGGAAUUCCUAGUGUAGCGGUGAAAUGCGUAGAUAUUAGGAGGAACACCAGUGGCGAAGGCGGCUUGCUGGACUGUGACUGACGUUGAGGCUCGAAAGCGUGGGGAGCAAACAGGAUUAGAUACCCCAGUAGUC
rnacentral:rRNA from 1 species